rnacentral:misc_RNA from 1 species
GAUGAAGAACGUAGCGAAAUGCGAUAAGUAGUGUGAAUUGCAGAAUUCAGUGAAUCAUCGAAUCUUUGAACGCACAUUGCGCCCUUUGGUAUUCCAAAGGGCAUGCCUGUUCGAGCGUCAUUUGUACCCUCAAGCUUUGCUUGGUGUUGGGCGUCUUGUCUCUAGCUUUGCUGGAGACUCGCCUUAAAGUAAUUGGCAGCCGGCCUACUGGUUUCGGAGCGCAGCACAAGUCGCACUCUCUAUCAGCAAAGGUCUAGCAUCCACUAAGCCUGUUUUUCAACUUUUGACCUCGGAUCAGGUAGGGAUACCCGCUGAACUUAAGCAUAUCAAUAAGCGGAGGA